UGAUUCCUUCAUAUCAGUGAU
ensembl:piRNA 21ur-316 ncRNA